GGAGUAUGCCAGGCAUGUUGGAGAGCCAAGAGCAAAGGAGCUAGCGUGGCUGGGAGGGGGAGAAGUGACUGCAGAGCAGGCAGGACCUUUGGGCUAGCGCCCAGCACCCACAGCGAAAUGGGGAGCCUGUCUCACCAUUAUCACCAUUAUUUUGAAGGCUCGCCCAUGGCGGGUGGCGGAGGGACAUGGCUGUAGGAGGGAGAACAGGCUUGUGCGCCGACGCCCCAGCUGUGUAAUGAUCUGGUGCAGCCAAGGUAAAUGUCAGACCCGCAUUGUCCAAUUAUCAGGCGCUCCCUGGGGAAGCCUUCCAAGAUGGAAUUCGCUUUCUAGAAGUAAGCACGCACCGCAAAGAAUGGAGCAACACUCCAAAUGCUAAGAAAUAGAAUGUUCUGCAUUUCUUUC